ensembl:lncRNA
CGAACUUGCUGGCCGUUCCUCUGUUCUCAAUUGACUUCUGUACCAUCUUGUUUUGGUAUAGAAAAAUCUGACAAAUAUCGUUUAUAAUUUCCUGACAUUUUGCAGUAAGAAGACUGUCAAUGCAGACAAAUUUAAACUGAAAACAACAACUGAACAACUGAAAAAGACAACUGUAAACCCGCGAGCGUCUCACGCGCUGCGAAUGCGGUUGUAAACAUAUGCUACGCAUUCGCAGCGCGUGAGACGUCCGUUGAAUAUUUGACAGUCGAGUCGUGAGUUUUAGUCGUGAGAUGCUACAGAAAAAUAAAGAAAAUGGCAAAAUAUGCACUAUUUGACUUUCCGGAUGAAGGGGCUGUGGACAUAGGCGAAAUAUCAUGGGUGGUAGGCGAAGUAAAUUUAAAAGAUCCUUUUGUAACGUAUAAAGUUAAUUGGCCAAACAAGGGAAGGAUUGUGUCAUGUCCAGACAGAUUAUAUCAGUCAGUGGUAAGUAGCACAAGUUUUUUUCUCCUUUGACUAUGUUUAUAUAAAAUAUGUGCAUAACUACAUACAUAUGGUAAUAUUUCAAAUAUCACGGUAAACGUUUUCGUUUCAAAAACGUUGUUAAUUGUUAAGCUCGCAACGGUAGGCACGAUAAGGCCCCCUAGCUCGCCGCCUAUAAUGUGAGGCGCGGGAAGUGUGGGGUGCGCGGCCUGGAUUUAUAGAGAGAAACUUUAUUUUGCCCAAAAUACUAGUAUUUUAAACACACAUUAUGAAAACGUCAUAAUUUUGACGUUUUCAGACAACAGAGAGGAGUUAGUUUGCAAGAGGAGGCAUUAUCUUCAUGGUGGAGACAAACUGUCGAGCCCGGAGUAGAAAGGGAAGGGGAAAAGGAAGAAACUGAAGAAUGGUCGAGAAAGGGAAGGGAAAAAGGAAGAAACUGAAGAAUGGUCGAUAUUCUGACGACGACGACGACGACGACGACGACGACGUAGUAUCGCUGGAUCCUCAGUUAAUUCAAUGUGAGAAGAAGAAGAAGAGAAAAAACACAGGUCUUAACGUCUUAAUGGAACUAGAAAAGCAAGGUAUUGGUGCAGUGAUGUACAAAUAUUUACCGUAUGGAAGUGCUUCUUAACAUCAGUGAAUUAUUGUAAUGUGAUGUAGCCUAAUGUUGUCUGUCAUAUUGUACACCAUGGGGUCGCCAACUGGCCUGCUUUGCCUGGCCUGUCAGAUCAUUUUGACUUUUUGCUUUCUGUCAAAAAUUAAGCAUAUUAACAAGAUUAGAUUUGAGUAUUCAUCUCCUGUUCCGCCUGCAUUGUCUACUCGCUCAGGCUCAUCCCCCAUGCUGACCUCUGUUGUACAGUCUUGAUGUAACCCUUAACUCUAUCUUCUGUUUGUCAUAGGAUCAUGUCAGCUGAACUCAAUUAACGAAACCAGGAAUGAAGUAAACUGUCUGCACUUAAUGUUCUACCUACAAUUAAAGUUUUUAUUUCCUAACUCUAUAGUAUAGGGAUAGAUACAGCAAUAUAUUCCUGUAAUCUAUCAGCUGUGAGCUUUGUACCCUCUAACGGGCUUCUGUAGGUAUUUGCCCAGGUGUAUGUCAGUCAGUUUUGUUUUUUUAAUGGAAUUUUUAUUUUCAGUGCCAUCACCCAUCUUGUGAGCUGUUGAGGGAGAACAACCACAGGCUGCAGAGGGAAAAUGAUUCUCUCUAGGCAAAAAUAGCAACAUUGAAAUUGCUGCCAGACGCUUUGCAGAAGAUGGAGGAGUUUCUCCGCUCAGCACCAAGACCAACGACAACACCAAUACCAACACCAACACCAAGACCAGAACCAUCACUAUCACCAGCACCAACAGCAGUUCCACCACCAGCAACAGAAGACCCAUCACCAGCUCCAGGUCCAUCAUCAGCAUCAGCAACAGAGGCCCUGGGCCACUCUGUCAUUCCAAAAGGACUUGUGGAGCGCUGCUCCUUCCAAAGCCCCCAGAAGUUCAUAAAUGAUCUCCUACAUGGGAUGUAUACCAGGGAAUAUAUGGCAGGCCAUUCAGUGACUGGCCAGUCAUCCAGCAGCUGCACAGAAGGAAAACCUGGCCUAGCCAAACAGGACCUUGUUGAAAUAACAAAUGCUGCAAAGUUGAAGUUCACCUACGUAACUGAUACGAACAUAAAAGCAUUUAUACGACAAAAGCUGAACAAUGCUGCCAAAUUUCAGAAACAAUAAAUUAUCAACUGUUAAA